rnacentral:rRNA from 1 species
UACGUAGGGGGCAAGCGUUGUCCGGAUUUAUUGGGCGUAAAGAGCGUGUAGGCGGCCAUACAGGUCCGUUGUGAAAACUCGAGGCUCAACCUCGAGACGUCGAUGGAAACCGUAUGGCUAGAGUCCGGAAGAGGAGAGUGGAAUUCCUGGUGUAGCGGUGAAAUGCGCAGAUAUCAGGAAGAACACCCGUGGCGAAGGCGGCUAUCUGGACGACUGUUGACGCUGAGGUGCGAAAGCGUGGGGAGCAAACAGG